CAUUGCCACCAGCACCAGCCUCUUGCUCGACCUCUGGGGACACUGGUGGUGGCCUCUGGCCAGCACCUGUUGGGACAGCAGCGUCACUUGAGUGAUGAGGGGAAACCCGAGCCCUGCCCAAGCGGUGACGUCCGCCGCGCCGUCCUCCUCGUACAGACAGUGACAGGGGAAACGCCUGGGCAGAGCUGUGCUGUUUUCAAGGGGAAAUAAAAGGACAGAGUGAGAGUGUAAAGCCUUUACAACUCAAGUGGAAGUGGCUGAGGGAUGUCAGCUGCCACCGGGCAGACCUGGGGGCUAUUUUAUUCGCUUUUAUACUUGUUUUGAACUCCUUCUCCGCUUCCCAGCCCUGCACUGUCUCCUGCCAACAUCUGAAGUCCCAGCUGUCCCCGGAGAAGAGAGUGGACACAGGGACCCUGUGUCUCUGCUCCACCAGGAGACAUACAGCCAGGCCCCUUGCAUUCCCCACCGAAGCCUUCCUGCUGCUCCUCCGCCACCUGCACUCCUCCCAUACCAUCCCAGCCCCACAGGACGCACCGCCCAGGCCACGCAGCCCUGAGCACCCCACAGCCAAACCUUUCUGGAGCAACAGGAGCUGAGCAGGAACCUCCAGAGUGUGGGAGCCGCAAGGUGCUCAGAGAGCUCGCUGUGCGCUCACUGGAAGCUAAUCCCUGCUCGCCCCGUCACCCGGCCCAACGCCAAGCUGGCAUUAGUGCACAGCAGUGGCCUUUGUUCGGCAGCACGGGGACAAGAGGGCCUUGUGCACGGCCCUGCUGCAAUGCCAGCUCUCGGGGCAGCCUGGCAUGUUGUGCUUUGGGAUGUGCUGGCAAGGUGCUGACUAGAGCUGCACUGAGCUACGUGUUUCGUGCAAAUAGGAAGGCAGGCUUUUGGACUCUGAAGGUUGCUGCAGGAUGAUGUCGAAAGCUAAGGCUGCUCCCCUAGGAAGACAAAGCAGCUGUGUUUCCCCACACAGCUGCUGGUCCUCCGGGUCUCCACAAGGCUCAGCAUCACUCACAGGGUGCCAUGCCCCCUCCAGCUCCAUCAGACUGCGGAGACAAGCCCUGGACCUGCACCACCAAAUACCUGCAAGCCUUGUGGUUUGGAAACUCAUGAUCCAUCUCCCCCAGAACUGAAGCAUAGAAAUCCAUCUUUUUUUAACACACCCUUCCUGCCUUUCCAUUAAAGGCUGGCUGCUGGUGCAGCUCUUUUAGAGCGCUAAAAACAGCCUUUGUCAGACUGUUUGACUAGAGGUCAUAUCUCAUGUAGCUGUAAUCAUAGAGUGAAGGCGAGGGCAGAGGGGAGUCUGACAUGGCCACCUCCAGAAGGGCUGUUUGAUUCAAGGCCUGACCAGAUUUUGCUCUGCAGACCAUUAAGCAUUAAAAAAUAUAUCUCUGAGAGCAAAGACAGUUAUGGUAAAGCGUUCCCUUUACUCUCAGUAUCUCGCAGGACUUCAGCUGGAAAAAAUAACGCUCAGAAUUUCAAUUCCUAUGUUCUUGUGCUGCUUCCAGCCCAGAGCAGCUGCAGACUGGGAAGGGCUGGGACCUGCUCAUGGCACUUCAUCAGCAGGAUUUAGAACACCACACCCUGGAGCAGGGCAAACAGUGGUGUACAGAAGAGCAGAGGAUUGCUAGGGUCUGUCCCUGGUAGACAGUCAGCAGAACCAACAGUAAGGCCAUGGAGAACAAUCCCUGAGAUACGCUCCUUCAGUAAGGUUUGUGGCUGAAGCGGAGAGCCUGGAAGCUUCCCAAGAAGCAUUCAGUAGAAAGCUGGAUCAUUUACAGCUGUACUGCAGAAAUACAUCACAUCCAGGUGCUUUGACAGCCCAGCAUUCCUGAUGCAGUCAUAGCACUGUUCUCACCCACCUUUUGGCAGAUUGCAAUAUGGUUAACAGAGGAAUCAUCCACAAGAAAGGACCUACGGGCGCUGGAUUUAUUUUGCUGAACACGGAGACCACUAGAUGGUGAUGCAAGGACACUUUUCCACUCCUUCUCUUCCCUUGGCUUCCCAUUAGUUGAGCUUGGCCUUUCCUGGUAGCACAGGUGGCUGUUGUCUUUUUCUUUCUGAGUGCUGACAGAGGUCAUUUGGCAGCAGAUCGCUCGCUGCCUGCCUGUCCUGCAUGAGCCAGGCUGCAGCCAGCAGUACAGCAGUACGACGUGCUUGCUGCUGGGGGAGUGUGUUUCUCUCCACUGAGGCCCAGCACAGGGAAGAGCAAAGGACUUGGCUUUCAGUUUUCGGAUUAGCCUUCUUUUGUAGGCUGUAGAAAAGAAAAGUGUUUUCUAUUGAACACAGUGGGAGAAAAAAAGGGGUUUUCAGGAAACAGGUAAUCUCUGAAAAUGGACACACUUUGGAACAGUUACCGUGGAAAAAAAGUCAGGAGAUUUUCCUCAGGGUCAGCAGUCAGACCUCCAGGCAAUAUUUUCUUCCUCCUUCGAGACCGAUUAUUGUCCUACAGAUAAGAAGAGAAAGUAGAUGAGAAAGAUUGGAUUGGCAGUGACACAGUCAGUACUGGUCUGUAGGGCAGAUGUAUGCCAUGAGCACAUAUGUGAUACAGGGACACAUCGUGCAGGAGCGAUGCUGUGGGGUAAGCAGAGGUGGGUCCCAGCUCUCCUAGCACUUCUUUAAUUGUACAUUUGGUAAUGGUAAAUGGUAAUAAUACAUUUUCAACUUUGGAGGUGUUGUGGGACACCCAAAGUGGAGCAAGGGUUCAGAACAUGGAAGAUGAAUCAUGAGAUCAUGGAAAAGCCCAGGCUGGAAGGGAGCUCAGAGAUCCCCUGGAUGCCUUGGACGAAGUCCAGGCAUGGGCUCACUUAACAGCAAUCUCAGACAAGCUUUUAGCAGCCGGUAAGCAGGGGAAGGGUAGUUGGAGUGCCCGGGUCAGAACAAUCAGCACAGAAAAGGCUUUGGUAACAAGUCUGGAAGCAAAAUAAUCUUACAACAGACUGAUAAAACCAGAAGACUUGGGAGAACCAUUCACAUAUUUACAUGACUAAAUGUCCUCCUUACUCAUUACGCCUAAAGCAAGCAGCUUAAGCCAUCAGCUCAUGGCAAGCCAUGAUUUCAGACCUGGGGGGCAGAGGAAUGGGAGGGAAACUGUUUUGUGACUUAAAUUGCUUCUCCACCAGCUUCUAAAAAUUGAUUGCCAGUUUCCAUUAAACAGAGAAGCACUGUUGGUCUCCUGCUUCCCCAAGCAGUGACAGUCCCUUGGGUGCUGCUGCUGAGCCAUGCCCCACACUGCAGUGCCUGCAGCAGCCCCAUGGCUUUCCUCUGUUUUUCUCCCCCACUGCUUAGCAGUCUCCUCAUGGUGACAACGAAAUGUCUGUUUUCCAGGAAACCAUUUGAGCAUUAUGGAUUAGCCAUGGUAGGCACUUGCAGACCUCCAUAAAGCAUGUUGACACGCUCUCCGGUGUAUUACUAACUUGGCUGAAAAAUUGAUCAAAACUGAUAGAGUUGCAGGGCCCUGAGUCCCUUUACAAUCUGCUGCUGUGCUGCUCGGCUCUGGCAGACGCAGGAGAAGCCAAACCUGGUUUCCGUGAGCACAGUCUGCACUUUGCAGGGUGUUUGUGCUUUGUUCCAUCACAGUCUCCUCUCUGGGAAGGCAGCCAGGUGUCAGCUCCCUGGACAUCCCCAUGUCCCAGUCCUACCAGAACACCACCUCCUUCUGUUUGCUGCUUACAACUUGAUUUCUGCUGGAAGCCCAAAUGAGGGCUGAAUAGCAAAACCACAAACAAGUUGUCCCAACAGCACACAGAGCAGUAUCUGAACGCCCCGUGCAAUGUGCUCUUUGCAUGCCAACCUACAGCUCUCUCCAACAGCAUGGCUCACAACCGCUCCCCAAAACAACAACUACACUGCACAGAUGUGGAUCAUUAGUGCUUGAACCAGAACUAACUUCUCAGAAAAUUGUACUUAUUGCAGGACAAAUUGAGUCUGCUAUGGCAGAAGCCAGAAUAAUUGCUCAGGGGACUGUAGGGCUUAUCCAGCAGUUAAUUCAUUAUUUGUACCUGCUCGGAGCCAGGAUAGAAACAGCAGGCAAGGCAGCAGCAAACAAGGUACAAACUCCAGCGUCUAAGGAUCAAUUUGUUCAGAUAAAGGCUUAUUGCCAUCACGGCAAGGUUGCAAAACACCUCUACAAGCGCUUACCAGUGGGAAAAUAGGAGGGAGCAGCUUCACUGCAGACCUUCAGCUUUCUGAUAAGAUGUGUGAGCCCUCUGUUCCUAUAGCUGUGACCUGAACACAACCAAUGCUGUGCUCUGGGCUUCGCCGUGUCAUAGCCACCCCAACAUCAGGGUCUGGAGGGCAGAUCCCACCUUGGCAGUGGGGCCAGGCCAAGGCGAGCAGAGAAGGAGCAGCAACAGGAAGACACUGCUAACAAGCAGCCACACCAACGGCAUGGCACAGCUGGGGCUCCCAUCGCAACUCCACAAGCUCCUCGGGAUGCGGCUCUGUGCAGCCCUACAAGCACCUCUCUGUGGGAUGUGUCCCCUCUUUUCACUUGGCCCUGAGCACAGCAGGGAGUCAGCAAGGUAUAGUGCAGAUAUGGCCAUUUCUCUGCCCUUUGAAAAUGAACUUGGCAAAGCAGUUAUCAUGAAGGGAGCCCCUCUGGCUCAAUAAGGCCACCCAGACUGCACUCUAUCAGCACAGCCAUUUUUCCAUCAGUUACCAAACGGAACCGAAACAAUUGCAACAGGAAUUCACAAAGCAUACCAGGAGGAGAAAUACCUACAGCUAAAAGAGCACCAAAACCAACAGCCCCAACUUCAGUUGGCUUUCAUCAUCGCAUGGAGUCAUUUGGGAGCACCAACAUUUCAGUGCACCACGUUUCCAUUCAACACCUAUUAAUACAUAUCAUGCUACAGGCGGGUAGUUUUAUGGUGGGAAGAACACAAGUGCUCUCAACGAAAUGACUCAAGGGCAACAAAGCAUAAACCGUCUCUAAACCUGUAUAAAGGAUGCUGAAGUCACAAACAAGGCAUAAAAUAAUAUGGAGUUGGAAAGCGCUUUUUCCUUAUUAGGUUGAUCAAAGAAAAGCCAGUCUGGCAAGCUUGCUCUAUCACGCAAAUGGAUGUGGUAAAAAAAAGGAAAUGAAAAUUCUGAUCCAUAUUCAUUGUCUGGCUGUCAGCGAGGGAGAAAUAAAAGUUGCACUUUACAUUUUGCUUUGCUUCAGAAAGCUGAUCUGAAGUUCCACAGAGGAAAAAAAAAUGUAAUCAAAGCUGAUGAAGAAGCAAAAGAAAAUCAAAGAUAAUUAAUAGAAACAAAGCAAGCACCAGACACGGUGUCUAAUAUUAACAAAAUAGAGAACGUGCUCAACUGCACCCAGCAGUGGCUCUGGGCACUGACAGCAUUGUAAUGGACGGAUUUAUGGGUGGAUUUCUCUCUCAGAGCCCCUAGCACCAGCCUGGCUGUCACCACUGCAGUCCUGACCACCACAAGACCCCAUCCCCGCAGCAGCGGGGUUGAGCCCCAGGCACGUACAGCAUUUUCUGAUGACUUUUUUCCAAAAUUUUCCUCUUCCCCAGACUGAAUAACCCCAGUUCCCUCAGCUACUCCCCGUAACGCC